rnacentral:rRNA from 1 species
GUGCUUGGGCGAGAGUAGUACUAGGAUGGGUAACUCCCUGGGAAGUCCUCGUGUUACACCC